AAUUGUGAGACUAUCCCACAUUCCCUUAGAUAGUCGAGGAACUCUGAACUAAGAUACUCACCACCACGAUCGGAUCGAAGCAUCUUAAUGUUCCUGCCCAAUUGAUUCUCGACUUCCUGUUUAAAUUCCUUAAACCUCUCGAAAGUCUCUGACUUAUGCUUGAUCAAGUAGACAUAUCCAUAUCUACUAUAAUCAUCAGUAAAAGUCAAAUAAUAACGAUUAGCAUCCCUUGUGGCAUGUUUGAAUGGUCCACACACAUCCGUGUGUAUAAGGUCCAACAAACCUUCACCCCUCUCACACGAACCUGUGAAGGGUGACUUUGUCAUUUUUCCAAGUAAGCAUGAUUCGCAACUAUCAUCUGACUUUAGGUCAAACGACUCCAAGACUCCAUCCUUUUGGAGUUGGCCUAUGCGUUUCUUGCUUAUAUGUCCAAGACGACAAUGCCAUAAAGAUGCUUUAUCCAAGUUAUUAUUAGUAGAAUCAAUACACAAAACAUUAUUUCCCAAGUUAUCUACAACAGAUACAGCUUCAUACACACCAUCACAAGGUAAUGCUUUAAAAUAAAAGACAUUAUUAUAGAAAACAUCUAUAGAACCAACUUCAUUAUUAAAUGAAAAGGUAAACCCUUGUUUGUACAAAGCAUGAAAGGAAAUAAUAUUUCUUGCCAUUCCUGGCGAAUAACAACACUUAUUCAAAUCUAAACUAAACCCACUACUUAGCGAUAAAGUAUAAACUCCAAUCUUGGUAACAGGUAUAGCUUUCCUAUUCCCCAUGAUCAAGUUUAUCCUUCCUUGCUCCACAUCCUCACUUCUUCUUAGUCCCUGCAAGUCACAACAAAUGUGAAUACCACACCCGGUAUCAAGGACCCAAGAAUUAGAAUGGGGUGAGUUAUUAGAAAUGAUAGUGUAAAUACCUGCAUGGUUGGGUUUAACUUUCCCAUCCUUCACAUCUUGCUGGUAUUUUGGGCAGUUCCGCUUCCAAUGAGCUUUUUCAUGGCAAUAGAAGCAUUCAGCCUCUUUUGGGUCAGAAGAAGGAGUAACGAAACCUUUCUUGGUUCCACUUGAAGAAGAGCCAUCAAGGGUCCGAGCCUUGGUACCCUUAGAAGAGCUCUUUCUCUUCCUCCCUCGACUUUUCCCGAUUGCCAAAACCGGAGUAGAGUUUUGAGUAGGAGUGAUAGCAACCGACUUCCCCUUAAGACCUGUUUCUGCGGUCUUGAGAAGUCCCUGAAGUUUGCUGAGGGUGACUUCUUCCUUGUUCAUGUGAUAUGUCAUGCGGAAUUGAUCAUAGCACGAUGGUAAGGAAUGCAAAAUAAUAUCUAUUGCAAGAUCCUCCGGGAAGUUCACAUUAAGCUUCAGCAAACGAUCCACAUACCUUUGCAUUUUCUGCAUGUGGCUCGUGACGGAUUCCCCGUCCUUCAUCAUGGUUGUUAUCAUGGAGCAGAUGAUUUCAUACCUCUCUUGUCUUGCACUUUGAUGGUAUCUUUCCAUCAAAUCUUGGUGCAUGUCAUAAGGGUAGAAAUCCUCAUAAGACUUUUGGAGUUCCGCUGUCAUCGUGGCCAUCAUGAUGCAAGCCACUUUCGUAGCAUCCCUUUCAUGUGCCCGAAAUUCAGCGAUCUCCUGAGGAGUUGCAGUGGACUCAUCAAUCUCCUUAAGCUCCUUGUCAAGGACAUAUUCUUUGUCCUCGUAGCGGGUAAUCAUCCUGAUGUUUCUGAUCCACUCAUUGAAGUUGGAUCCAUCAAAGGUGACUUUCCCACACAAGUUCAUAAGGGUAAAGGAGCCAUUAGGAUUAGAGCCAGAAGCAUUGUUGAAAGACAUCUGAAGGAAAGAGGACAAGAUUAGUUUAGAUAUAAGAGAGUCCUUAAUAAAACACCCAAAUGUAAUAUUAAGGCUAGGAUCCAAUCACAAUAUAAUAUAACUUAGAAGAGGUAUGCCGUAAUCUAAGCUAUAUCAUAUUUGAAAGGUAGGUGAAUGACGAUUCACCAAUUUCCACCACGAAAACCGCAAUAUUUUAGUAUUAGGUUUUUGAAUGGUUCUUAGAAAUUCCUAGAUUCUUUGAGAUUCAAUGAACUUUUCAAAGGCAUGUUUCAAUCUCGAGUGUGCCCUCCAAGUUUUGUGACUGGGAUACCGAGGAUCACAAAACGAGGUGUGAAGUAACCAUGCAAAUCACUUGGUACCCUUAAAGUUUAUCACUCAAUCGAUGUGCCGGUUAACCACACACGCUCCAUCGAUACUAUAAUAAACCCUAAGUCACCCUUUACCUACCUUGUUAAGUCCAAGUUAGUGUGCCGGUUAACCACACACGCUCCACCAACGACUUAAUCAAAGUGUAAAGUGUAAUUUCAUGGAAUAGCACCUUAUUCACAUUUUUCCUAAAGUAACUAAGAUUGGGAAUUUAAUAAAACAUUUAGUUACUUUAUAAUAUUCAUCAUACUUUGAAUGAGAAUUAAUAAGUCCUUGUCUUACCCGUUCGGCUAACGACCCUCCACCGAUCAAGCAAGCGGUGGGUGAGAGUGGACACCCAUUAAGUCACCAUUUUAUAGGCAACAACCUUAUACCCACCUUAUAGACCGGCUUCGUGAAUGAGGCGUACUAGCGGUAAGACGACUUUGUUCUUAUACAUAUAUAUAUAAUUAUUAAAUCAUAAUAAUAUAAGUAUAAGGGUUGAAUUUUAACUUUUAAAAUUCUAGGGGUUGGAACUAAAGUUUUAACUUAACUUUACUUGUUCCAAAACUUGAGGGCAAGUUUUGUAAACUUUCAAAACUUUUCAUUUCUUGUAACUUAUGAGUUUAAUAGAGUAAUAAAAUGAGGACUUUUCAUUUUUCCUAACUCUUGUGUUCUUUUAAUGGUUUUUAAUCCAAGAGACUUUUGGUUUUCCAUAACUUGAGGACAAGUUAUGGACUCCAUUAAAACACAUUAUGAUCAUGAAUUAAUCUACCACAUAGGUUACAAAUAAUUCCUAUGAUCAUCUAAACAUCAUAAGAACAAGAAUAUGAAUAUGAACACUUUCAAGAAUCAAAAUCACAUUUAAUCUUUGUAAUUUUGAUAACUAGUUGUUGUAAAUGAGUUAGAAAAGACAUUACACCUUCUAAAAUAAGUUUUCAAGUACCAAAACAUUUUAGGGUAAUGAUUCUAAUCCAUUUCCAGCAACUCAAGUCGAAAUUCUGCACUCUGUCGACCCUACUCGCCGAGUGCAUAAACCUACUCGCCGAGUAGGUUGAAGAUACACAUGAACUCGACGAGUCCUCCCCAUGGACUCGCCGAGUCCAUCAGUCAGACAGCAGAAUUUUCGACUUUCUUCAACUUUUAAGCACAAAUAACAAACAAACAAGCCUAGGCUCUGAUACCACUGAUGGGUUUUGAGCAUUCUAACACUUCCUAAGUGUACAUGCAACCCUAAUAACCUUGGAUCUAUGUUUGUCUAAUUAUCAUGCAAAGUUGAAUUCCAAGGUUAUAUUCCUAUCUAGCAUACAUGGGGAACAAUUUUAACUUGAAUCAUAGAUAGAAUAACUUACCUUGUUGUUGCUUGUGUUCCUUGAAACCUUGUGAGCCUAGCACCCCAAGUGUGAUGCCUCAAAUGCUUCACACAACACCAAAUGCUCUUGGAAAGACUCUUGAGAUAACACACACUUCUCAAAAUCGGCCAAGCCCUCUAGUUUCUUAGUGUUCAACUUGUGUAGCCAAUUUUGUGGAGAAUGGGACUCUUAUAUAGUGUUGGCACAUCUAGGGUUACACCAUGUAAACCCUAAUGUGUCAUGACUCUUCAUUUCCAUGACCCAUGGGUUUGUAACUCCCAUGGAGCAUCCAUGGAGCAUCCUAUGGGUAGAACCCAACUUGAUAAUCCAUGGAGCCUCUUAGCCCACUAUACAAGAUAUGGAUGAUUUACAUAAUCAACCCAUAUAUUUAAUUAGUUAUCCUUUGAUCACUUAAUUAAUUCCAAAUUAAUUCUUUGAUCAACUAAUCAAAUAAUAUUAUUAAUAUAUUAGAACUUAUAAUAUAUUAAUAAUCUCCAAGUGUUAUUUCUCUCAUUUAGUCUAUCCAAUUGCAUGGUGCCAUGCAACCCAAAUGGACCAUGCCGGGUCGGGUCAAGUACAAGCCCGAAAUAGUUAUGGACUUAGACACCUUAUCGAACAGUCAUGAUCUUGUUGUUUCUUAUUGAUUCUUUAGCCAAUAUUUCUUCCACUGUUAACAAAGAAGAAAUGGCUUCUAUUAGGUUCUCAAGAGUCAAAGAUCAAGGGAAUGUUCAAGGGUGUUGUGACUGAUACUUAGGAGAGGAUUGAUACUACCUUGAAGUCUUUCAAGUUCCAUGUUACAAAGGUCCAAAAUAUGGCAAAGGAGGGAUAUGAAUUGAUAAAGAAGAGAUUAUCGACAUUCAAGGAGUCCAUUGAACUAAAAGUUCAACAAGUUCAUGAUCUUAUUACGUCAAAAGUGAAAAAUAUUGAUGGAUUAUUUAUGGUUGCACAAAAGAAUGUCGAUUUCCUGCUUUUAGCUACCAGAACGUUAGUCGAAGAUAUUCAAGAUUUUAAUGUCGAUUAUAAAGUUGAACUAGAAGAGAAGAAUGGAAAAGAUGAAGCAGUGUAAAAGUAUUGAAACUUCUCUUAAUACUUUUCAAGAAGAAAUCUCAAAGUAUGCAAACCAUUCAUCAUCUUCGAUGGUGCAAAUGUCAAAGGUCGUGUCUUCGAUAAAAGCUUCUUCCGAAUCCCAACUUGCACCUAUUCUUGAUCUGGUGUUGUGACUGCCAACGAAUGCUCCAUGUGCUUCACAAGUGUCACAAGAGGGAGAUAAGGGUGGUUCAUCAAAAUUAGGAGGAGAAGAUAAAGGAAAUUUUUUUGGGAAGGUCUUCUCUCAUCAAAUACCUAUUCCUAUUCCAAGAAAACAAGUUUAAACAAUAGAAACAACUGUAACUUCAAGUUCAGUUGUCACUCCAAAUGUUGAAGUAGAUGUGUCUAAGCUUCAUUCAAAGAAGAGCUUAAGAAUUCAUUAAGGUGAGUCUUCAAUAGUCAAGCGAACAACAAGAACAGAAGCAAGGAAAGACAAAUGCAACGGGUUGUGUUGUCUGAUGAAGAAAAGAAUAAGUUGAAAGAACUAGAGAUAGAGAAGCUGAAAUAACUGAAUAGCUUCUUGAGGAAAAGGGAAAAUGAUCCUCUUAGGAUGAACAAGGGGAAGUAAAUAAUACACAUAAUUAUGAAACCACUAAAACUGUGUCUUUUGGUGAAGCAGAUGCAUUCGAGAAAAUGCAGAAGGAAAGGUACACAAUUGAAAAUUGACCAAUGCAACAACUUGAUUUUCCUUUCAACCGUAUGAUAUUCAUAAUUGUACAAAUCAAUUUUUCUUAUAAUUUCCAUGAAUAUGAAGCAUUCAAAUACUUCAAGAUAAGGUUUCAUGUAGUGCUUGGAAAGAAAAAUGGGGGGGGGGGGAGAUUUGAUCCUUGAAAAAGAUUGUGAAGCUGGUGUCAAUAUCUAAGGAUGAUAUGUUUGAGAAUCUCCUUCAAAACUACCGAUACAAAGUGAUUAGAGCAUAUAAUAGUCUAUGUGUGUUCACCAUCUUUGAUUUCUCUUUGAUAUAUUUGAAUGAUCUUAUCAAAUCUCUCGAUGAUAAGCAAGUGGCCGAUAAGAGAUCUUAUGUUGUGGGAUAUGCAUAUAUCAAGAACCUCAUUGAUUUUCACCUUGCACACCUUGGGCUAAUUGACGUCGAGAUCGCUAAAGACUACAAAAAACCUAGGAAGAAUCCAAAUGCUAUUUUGGACGUUGUGGAUCUUGAGCAGUAUGAUGAUGGUGAAAUUAUUUUGAAUCCUUUGGGUGUUGUCUUUCAAGGGAAGAAGGUGAAUGGAAAACAAAAGAAGCACUUCCUUUAUACGAAUUUGAAAGACAUGUAUUCUACAAAAAAAAAAUUGACGCAUCGUUUUCUUAGAAUUGCAAAGUGAAAGAAGAAUAGUGAUGGUGAUAGGAAGGAAAUAAGAAAUGUAGUCUGCUGGUAUUUAGAAAUCAGGAAGACACUGAUGGAUGUAGUGAUGACAUUACCAAUUGUUCGAAGACUUGAAUAUUCUUCACAAAGAGGGGGGGUGUAGAGAAUAAGAAGUUGUGAAGAUAUUCACUAUCCAAGUCUUUUGUACAUAAUGUUGAAUAGUCUCUUGUAGCGUAUAUCAAAGGUUACACACCUUUGAUAUAUCUAUGUAUUUUAGAGAUCAUGUUUGUUUGUAAUACAUUGAAUGUCGAAGUCUUUCGAUACUUUUUGUGUCUAUUGAGGGUACUAUAUAUAGUAUUGAAGUAUAGGCUAUCGGGUACGCUUUCAGAACACUUUCUUAGAACUCACUCUUUGUAACGACGUAAACUUUUUAAACAAAAUUUUCAUUUUUAAUCACAUACUUUUCAUAAUAUAUUGUAUAAAAAUAUCACUUGUUCAAUUUACAAAACACAAAUCCAUGUUUGAUUAAUUAAUAAUCCAGGAUCCUCAAAACGUAACUCUUUCUCUGGUAUGUACAAUCAAGUCGGUGCCAUCCCGCGAUCCUGAGAAACUUGAAAAACAUAACACAUAACACGGUAAACAUGAAGCUUAGUGAGUUCCCUAAAAUACCACAUACAACAAAUUAUCCACUCGAGGCUAUAACUCUUUAAGACCCUCCGGUCAAUGUGUCUCAGUGGGACCCUCCAGUCCCACAACUCUGAUGGACCCUCCGGUCCUAAAUCUGAUUAACACAUUACAUAGCAUAUAUAUCACACAGGAAAAAUGCAUAACUCAAGUAAGAACAUAAGACCCUCUGGUCACACAUCAAUACCACUCAAGGUAAAGUAUAGUGAGAAGACUCACCUCGGAUGAUGAAUAGCUCCUAUAGACACUACUGCUACGCACCGGCCUCUAUCUCUAUGCCAAACCCACAAUUAUCUCAAUUAGGAACUAUGUCCAUCCUUACACUUAUUAGGUCUAAGAUGGACCACCUACCAGCCCAUCAAUGCCCUAAACCCAUUAUGCCCGCCAAGGCCUAAUAAUAAAUGGGCUUCCCCGAGGCCCAAACCUCAAUCUUCAUGACAAGCCCAACGCAAGGGCCCAAGACAUAACUAUACUAUUCUCUACUCAUAGUCUCAAUUACAAAAGCCCAAAGAUCUAGGCCUAACCUGUAAGGCCCACAAUAUAGUCUAGCCCAAAAGUCCACAGAGGGGUUACGUGGGGCGUACCCCUUUGGUACGCUCAGCGUACCAAAGCGCUCAUGAAAUUGAUCGGGGACCUUCACUCAGUACGUGGGGCGUACUGGAAUUACGCGGCGCCUACUCCCUGAAAUACUUAAUCCACUCUCCUGGUCUUUACCCGUUAAGACCUUAACUCAUCUCUCAGAUGUAGACUUCCUAAGGGCUCUUACUCCUUAAAGUCAGGGACUUUAAGCCUUUGCAUGGCUGAUAUGGUCUCAAACACACAAAACACUCAUUCUCUUUUCUCAUUAAGCUCUUAUCUCAUUCAUAACUUGGCUGUAACAUCCACGAUCUCAUUUUUACAAAACCAUACCAUCAAAAACACUCAAAAGGACAUGCAAUGGGCUUUGGAGUUUAACAACUCAUAAAGUCUCAAGCUUUGGGACCAAAAACCCUAAAAUGGACCAUAACAUGCACAAAACAAAAAGAAUGGGAAAGCUUUGAGCUUUAUACCUUCAAAUGAUGCUCUAGCCCUAGGAAAGCUUAGAUCCAAAGCCUAGACUUCAACUCCUUUCUCUUCUGUGCGCUCCUUAACUCCAAAGAGCCCACAAGAACACAUAUAAGCUCAACAUGGCCACCCACAAGCUCAAGAACGGAUAUUAGGGUUUGAGAGGGUUUAUUAAUUGAGGAAGGUUGCCAUAAAUGAGACCAUCUCAUUCUUUAAAUAGGGACACUACUCGAAUUAGGGUUUUAUUUAUGUGCCUAGUACGCCCAGCGUACUAGGUGGUCCUCGCAUCCAAUCCACACUCAUAGGUAUCCUAAGCAUACCCCAACUUAUGCCCAGUAUACCCGAUUGCCACCCAUUUCUCAAUAAGGACCAAACUUGCCAUAACUUCCAAACUCUCAUAGCUUCUUUGAUAUAACUCUGAUUCCAAAGAUCCUCAUAUCUACAGAAAGGUGAUGAGAUGCCCUACGCUUUAGCAACUCGCUGCAACCCAAGAUCUCCUCAUGUCCGGUUCGUGGCUCACGAACCCUUAUCACAAACAAUCCGAAACAGGAUGUUACAAUUCUCCCCCACUUGAAUUAGAUUUCGCCCUCGAAAUCGCUCCUUACCAAAACAUAGACCGAUCCCAACAAACCGAGAUGCAUCACUGAAGGUCCACAAACCAUACAACAAUCACUUCCAAAGAUACUCGAUCCCGUGUGUACAAGGUCCAACAAACCUUCACCCCUCUCACAAGAGCCUGUGAAGGGUGACUUUGUCAUUUUUCCAAGUAAGCAUGAUUCGCAACUAUCAUCUGACUUUAGGUCAAAUGAUUCCAAGACUCCAUCCUUUUGGAGUUGGCCUAUGCGUUUCUUGCUUAUAUGUCCAAGACGACAAUGCCAUAAUGAUGCUUUAUCCAAGUUAUUAUUAUUAAUAGAAUCAAUACACAUAACAUUAUUUCCUAAGUUAUCUAUAACAGAUACAGCUUCAUACACACCAUCACAAGGUAAUGCUUUAAAAUAAAGAACAUUAUUAAAGAAAGCAUCAAUAGAACCAACUUCAUUAUUAAAUGAAAAGGUAAAACCUUGUUUAUACAAUGAAUGAAAGGAAAUAAUAUUUCUUUCCAUUUCUGGCGAAUAACAACAUUUAUUCAAAUCUAAACUAAACCCACUACUUAGCGAUAAAGUAUAA
rnacentral:lncRNA from 1 species